AUUGAACGCUGGCGGCAGGCUUAACACAUGCAAGUCGAACGGUAGCAGGAGAAAGCUUGCUUUCUUGCUGACGAGUGGCGGACGGGUGAGUAAUGCUUGGGAAUCUGGCUUAUGGAGGGGGAUAACUACGGGAAACUGUAGCUAAUACCGCGUAGUAUCGAGAGAUGAAAGUGCGGGACCGUAAGGCCGCAUGCCAUGAGAUGAGCCCAAGUGGGAUUAGGUAGUUGGUGGGGUAAAGGCCUACCAAGCCUGCGAUCUCUAGCUGGUCUGAGAGGAUGGCCAGCCACACUGGAACUGAGACACGGUCCAGACUCCUACGGGAGGCAGCAGUGGGGAAUAUUGCGCAAUGGGGGGAACCCUGACGCAGCCAUGCCGCGUGAAUGAAGAAGGCCUUCGGGUUGUAAAGUUCUUUCGGUAUUGAGGAAGGUUGAUGUGUUAAUAGUACAUCAAAUUGACGUUAAAUACAGAAGAAGCACCGGCUAACUCCGUGCCAGCAGCCGCGGUAAUACGGAGGGUGCGAGCGUUAAUCGGAAUAACUGGGCGUAAAGGGCACGCAGGCGGUUAUUUAAGUGAGGUGUGAAAGCCCCGGGCUUAACCUGGGAAUUGCAUUUCAGACUGGGUAACUAGAGUACUUUAGGGAGGGGUAGAAUUCCACGUGUAGCGGUGAAAUGCGUAGAGAUGUGGAGGAAUACCGAAGGCGAAGGCAGCCCCUUGGGAAUGUACUGACGCUCAUGUGCGAAAGCGUGGGGAGCAAACAGG
rnacentral:rRNA from 1 species